AAGUGGGUCAUCAUGCGCCUGCAUGAGAUGUGCAGUCCCGAAUUGUUACAACAGGGCACAGUACCCUUCUGAU